CCCCAACACUGGGACUGAGACACUGCCCAGACUCCUACGGGAGGCUGCAGUCGAGAAUCUUUCGCAAUGGACGGAAGUCUGACGAAGCGACGCCGCGUGUGUGAUGAAGGCUCUAGGGUUGUAAAGCACUUUCGCCUGGGAAUAAGAGAAUUUGGUUAAUACCCGAAUGAUUUGAGCGUACCAGGUAAAGAAGCACCGGCUAACUC
rnacentral:rRNA from 1 species